CCUACGGGUGGCAGCAGUGGGGAAUCUUCCGCAAUGGGCGCAAGCCUGACGGAGCAACGCCGCGUGAGUGAAGAAGGUUUUCGGAUCGUAAAGCUCUGUUGAGAGGGACGAGAGGCAAGGCUAGGAAAUGAGCUUUGUAGGACGGUACCUUUCGAGGAAGCCACGGCUAACUACGUGCCAGCAGCCGCGGUAAUACGUAGGUGGCGAGCGUUGUCCGGAAUUAUUGGGCGUAAAGGGAGCGCAGGUGGGAAAGUAAGUCAGUCUUAAAAGUGCGGGGCUCAACCCCGUGAGGGGAUUGAAACUACUUUUCUUGAGUGCAGGAGAGGAAAGCGGAAUUCCUAGUGUAGCGGUGAAAUGCGUAGAUAUUAGGAGGAACACCAGUGGCGAAGGCGGCUUUCUGGACUGUAACUGACACUGAGGCUCGAAAGCCAGGGGAGCGAACGGGAUUAGAUACCCUUGUAGUC
rnacentral:rRNA from 1 species